ensembl:lncRNA
GUCGAUUAAGUCCUGCCUAAAGUGAACUAAUAGCCACUCUUAGGUGGAAGAGGUUUCUAGAUUUCCUUUUCUAAAAUUCUCAUAUCCCAACACAUUUUUCAAAGCGAUUUAUGCACAUGCUUUCCUUUGAAGGCAGGCAUAAGUAAGAUGUAAUGAUUGCCUGUUUAAGCAUAAGGAGCACUGCUAUAGAGGUCUUUGGACACCAAACAUAACCAUAGUAAACAUGGCCCAAAGCAGGUGCCUUUGAAAACUUUUAAUAUCUGCAGAAAUAAAAGACUAAAUGAUGGACCCGUUUGUGCUACCAUCAUAAAGGGUUGUUUGAUUACAAUGUUUUCUUGAUGUUACAUUUAUUUUUUCUGUCUAAAUUUGCCAGUCUUUUGAAAGUGGCAGGCACAUUUUACAGAUCUGCUAUUUUUUUCUUUAUUCUCACUGGUAUUCUCCACUAAAUUACAUUUCUAGGUCAUGGAUAUUUUCUUUUUUUUCUUUUUUGUAUUUUUUUUGUGCAUGAAGACAUAAAGACUUCCCUUUUGAAACCUGACCCAUGGGGUCACUGUGGCAUUUAUUUAUUCUGCUAUAGCAGUGCUAGUUACAAUAAGUUCAACUAUAACAUAGGGCUAGGCGAUAUAUCGAGUUUUUUUAAAAAUAUCGAUAUAUUUUUAUAAGAGAUAUGAGAUGUGACAACAUCCUUUAUAUUGAUAUAGUCUAUGUUACGUUAUAAUUAUAGUUGUGGAGCCGCAAGUUUGCCUCCCUUUUGUCCACUUUUGUCUUUACGCAAUGUUACUCGACCUCGCCUCUCUCCUUCACUGAACACAACUCCCCCUCCUCCCCCAUCACUUCACCCGCAGGCAGUGACAAGAUGGACACGGCAAAUCUCCAUUAACGACUUACUGCACAUUGCCCCGUGCGUUGGGCUGGACGGCGUCAACGUGUUAACGAGCUAAACACGCUAACGAGCUAACCAUGCUAACGCCAUGCACGGCCUGAAAUCCUUUCAUUUUCUCAAAAGUUGACAGCGCGACUUAUGUAUGAAUUCUGGUUGCGCUUGAUGACCACGAACCGAUUUUAUGUGGCACACAGCGCUCAGCAAUCUGUCAAAAAAUGUUUUAGUAUGACUUUGGUAAGUUACGGAACGGAGCUGCACUGCUUGAUGGAUUGUCGGAGCAUUACGGCUACCGAGGAGCCUCGCGUAGUAAUACGUACUGUGCUUCAACGUAAUAUUACCGUACUGUGUGUGUAUAAGGACCAUAAAUGGCACCUGCUAAGAGACAUGGUUACGAAGCAGAAUUCAAACUCCAGGCUGUCAGUCACGCAGUAGAAGUUGGGAAUAGAGCAGCUGUGAAAUCUGUCCAUGUUAUUAUGCUCAGCGUCUCUUAGUUUACAUUUUGACUGCACAAUUGUGAGCUCUUUGUUAUGCAUAAAAACAAC